rnacentral:tRNA from 1 species
GCCACCUUAGCUCAGUUGGCUAGAGCAACGGUUUUGUAAACCGUAGGUCAAGGGUUCGAAUCCCUUAGGUGGCUCCA